AAAAAGGCCCUUUUCAGGGCCCCCAUCAUCUCACCUAAGGAGCGGU
rfam:Loxodonta africana unplaced genomic scaffold scaffold_108, whole genome shotgun sequence.